rnacentral:rRNA from 1 species
GACGAACGCUGGCGGCGCGCCUAACACAUGCAAGUCGAACGAGCGAGAGAGAGAUUGCUUUCUUGAGCGAGUGGCGAACGGGUGAGUAACGCGUGAGGAACCUGCCUCAAAGAGGGGGACAACAGUUGGAAACGACUGCUAAUACCGCAUAAGCCCACGGUGCCGCAUGGCACAGAGGGAAAAGGAGCAAUCCGCUUUGAGAUGGCCUCGCGUCCGAUUAGCUAGUUGGUGAGGUAACGGCCCACCAAGGCGACGAUCGGUAGCCGGACUGAGAGGUUGAACGGCCACAUUGGGAUUGAGACACGGCCCAGACUCCUACGGGAGGCAGCAGUGGGGAAUAUUGCACAAUGGGGGAAACCCUGAUGCAGCGACGCCGCGUGGAGGAAGAAGGUCUUCGGAUUGUAAACUCCUGUUGUUGGGGAAGAUAAUGACGGUACCCAACAAGGAAGUGACGGCUAACUACGUG